UAGAUGACAGAAGAGAGAGAGCAGACAGCUUCUCUAUCUAAUCUGUGGUCGCUUGAAUGAUGAGUUUGGCAUAGGAAGUGUCAUCUCUACCCUUGAUCUUUCUUGAUUCUGCAUCACCACCUGACCAUUGAUUCCUCUCCGACCUGAUCCUUCUCCAUAAGUACUCUCACCAGAGCUCUUCCUUCUUCGCUCAUUGU